GACGUCAAGCGUGACAUUUUUCGGCCGAAUCAGUUUGAAUCGGACCGCCUUUUAUCGAAGAACCGCAAGAACGUUGCUAUGGCGACAUCAAUUUGUUGGUGGAAUUGUGGCGUGGUGUUAUCUUUCGCGUGUCGUGAUGGACGGCGGUUUCAGUCCAAAGGAUUUACUGGCGCUCCAAAAUUUAAUUUCCCCGCCGAAGGAUGAUUUCGAUGUCGAGGACGAUUUACCGCAGGCGGACGCGAGAAAGUUAGGACCGGGCGAUAUCGGGGUAUCAGACAGUCCUUGUCAGGAAUAUUCAGGACCUCAUGCACCGCUCCAACCUGCGGGUGACGAUAUUUGGCACCCCUCCGAGGCGAACACUCGAAGCGUGGAGGAUUAUGACCCCAGAAAGGUGCCCGAGUACGAGAUGGUCUUUAAACAAGCAGUGACAGCGGAAGACGUUUAUUUGGGGAUGGGCUUUAAAACGCCGGGCACGGCGUCCUGCGAGUGGCUGUCGGUGCUAGUGAAAUUGCCCGAGGAGACGCGGGAAAAAGUCGAGCUCUCCGUGGAAUCCGAGGCGAUCGACGUGCACAGCCCAAGAUAUCGGCUGCACCUACCAACGCCGCAUCUGGUGGAUCCCAAUGCAUCCUACGCCAAGUGGCACAACGACACUUCCACCCUGGAAGUCACUCUGAAGUUGACGCGCGAGCUGGAUAACAUAAACUUCUGAUUUCAGACCGAACUACCGUCCCUCCUCGUCGUGGCUCUGGCGGAUGCAUCCGGCACAGGUCGAAAUGGUACACAUUGAUGGAUUGAAUAGCAACUUCGUUGACCUCGCGAUGUGUCGAAAUGCAUGAAGCGUUUCACGCGCGAUCUGGCGGCGGCCAUGCGAACAGGACAAGAGUCUAGACCAGAGAGCUAGGAAGAAGCCAUCCGUUAAAGUUUAUAUUCUGCACUCGAUGCUUCCUACGGGUACGGCGAGGAAAUCGACUUUGCUCGAACGUCCGGAAGUUCAUGACGAUUCCCGUGAGAUACUCACGAGGGGACACGGAGGGUGAAGGAUUGUCUCUCACGGGAGUCCGACGGGGGUCUGUUGAUGCAGGUGAAACGUGUACGAGUAAGAAUAACGCCGACGCAAUGAAUAUCCGGAUUUGAAAAUGAAAAAAAUACUUCACUGGCCGAUUCGCAAGCUAAAACGAGAGCGGGGCGGUAAAAAAAUAUUUUAUCGACAGACACCGAUAUGCACGCAGUAAAAAAAUAAAUUUUAUUUCCCUAGCUAGCUUAUUUUUGUUACCUUGUUUUGCUAUUUUUAUUUCGUCGACGUAAGUAUUACUAUUGUCUUUCUCUCUGCUCUUCGAACGGACGCGAGAGGACUCUUCUCUUCGUCAAGGUUUCUUUCGCAAUUUUUGACAGUUUUUGCCUUGACAGAGAUGAUGAGACGUCAAUUGAUUUCACAGAUCCUUGAUUCCGCGAAUCCCUAAUUUCACAGUAGACUUGCGUUUUCUCCCUCUUUCGUAUCUCGUGAAUCAUAAAUCCCUAAUUUAUUAUUCAUGAAUAUACAGCUCCUCCCCCUUCCCUUCUUCCAUCGGUUCAAGUUUUAUAUCACGCAAGACGGGACUCUUCCCAUCCCCCACUCCCAUAAAUAAUAUCCCUUGCAUUUAUCGCGGUGACAAAAUUUUGCCGUGGAAAUACUGAAUUUUAUACCCCUUAGAUAUGCCGUCCGAGUGGCGUUGUUAAAAGGAACACUUCCUAUAACUUUGCGAUGGGGGUGAGUGGAAGGAGGAGGGGUUAAAAGGAAUAUUUCUAUUCUCAGGGUGCUAUUCGCUUCGUACAUGAGUUAUAUAUUAUUUCGCGUUCUCUUCUCUUCCUUCCAUUCCGUUUUACUAGUAUAAGUAAGAACAGGUACAUUCUGUGUCCAUCAUGUUGAUUAUGCGUAAUUAUAGCAACCUACGAUGCAGACCGAUAAUCUUUUCUAUUUAUGUAAUAAUUUAUAUAAUAAGGAUAAAUGUAUAAUAUAUUAAUUAAAGUUUAGUUAUUUACCGUAACUUUUACAUUAAGGUUUGAAUUUGUCAAUUCAUUACGUAGACCUGCAAUGCACACGUACGAUUAAGCUAUUAUAGGUCUGUUUUUUAUUGUCGCACUACUGAACUGGUGCAAUGCGUUAAAGUGAGACAAGUAUAUUUUUUCUUACUCUAAUUUAUUGCAUCAGUUCAGCAGUGCAGGAAUAAAAAACAGACCUUAUGUCAGUACCAGCAGACGACAAUCGCCUUGUUGUUAUUGUGCAUUUAUUUACCACUUUUCGGAAGAGUAUUUGGGAGAGUUACCUACUGUUCUUUCUUAUACUUUUUAUACUUAUACUUUUAGUCGCUAUAUAUGGCAUUCCCGGCUAACUGCGUUUUGUUUCAUAUAAUGAUAUCAAAUAAAUUUUCAAAAACAA